rnacentral:tRNA from 1 species
UCCCCGGUGGUCCAGUGGUUAGGACUCAGGGCUUUCACUGCUGUGGGCCCAGGUUCAAUGCCUGGUCUGGUAA